ACGGGAGUAGCUUAACAAGGCAAAAGCACUAGGUUUGGGACUUAGGAGAUGCAGGUUCAACCCUGUCACCCGUA
rnacentral:tRNA from 1 species